UAAGGAAUAUUGGUCAAUGGACGCAAGUCUGAACCAGCCAUGCCGCGUGAAGGAUGAAGGUCCUCUGGAUUGUAAACUUCUUUUAUCUGGGACGAAAACGGGAUUUUUAUCUCAAUUGCCGGUACCAGAGGAAUAAGCACCGGCUAACUCCGUGCCAGCAGCCGCGGUAAUCCGUAGGGGGCAAGCGUUGUCCGGAUUUACUGGGUGUAAAGGGCGCGCAGGCGGAAUGGAAAGUCAGUGGUGAAAUCCUACAGCUUAACUGUAGAACUGCCUUUGAUACUUUCAUUCUUGAGUUCGGGAGAGAGAGACGGAAUUCCAGGUGUAGUGGUGAAAUACGUAUAUAUCUGGAAGAACACCAGUUGCGAAGGCGGUCUCUUGGUCCGAUACUGACGCUGAGGCGCGAAAGCGGGGGGAGCAAACA
rnacentral:rRNA from 1 species